AGAGUUUGAUUCUGGCUCAGGAUGAACGCUGGCGGCGCGCCUAACACAUGCAAGUCGAACGGUUAAAGCCCCUUCGGGGGUGCAUAAAGUGGCGAACGGCUGAGUAACACGUGGGCAACCUGCCCCCCGCUUCGGGAUAGCCUCGGGAAACCGUGGGUAAUACCGGAUACUCCGCCCACCCCGCAUGGGGAGGGCGGGGAAGCGCAUACGGCGGGGGAUGGGCCCGCGGCCUGUUAGCUCGUUGGCGGGGUAACGGCCCACCAAGGCUAUUAUGGGUAGCCGGGUUGAGAGACCGACCGGCCAGAUUGGGACUGAGACACGGCCCAGACUCCUACGGGAGGCAGCAGUGGGGAAUCUUGCACAAUGGGCGAAAGCCUGAUGCCAGCGACGCCGCGUGCGGGACGAAGGCCCUCGGGUUGUAAACCGCUUUCAGCAGGGACGAGGCGCAAGUGACGGUACCUGCAGAAGAAGCCCCGGCUAACUACGUGCCAGCCGCCGC
rnacentral:rRNA from 1 species